rnacentral:rRNA from 1 species
CCUACGGGAGGCAGCAGUGGGGAAUAUUGGACAAUGGGCGAAAGCCUGAUCCAGCCAUGCCGCGUGUGUGAAGAAGGUCUUCGGAUUGUAAAGCACUUUAAGUUGGGAGGAAGGGCCAGUAAAUUAAUACUUUGCUGUUUUGACGUUACCGACAGAAUAAGCACCGGCUAUCUCUGUGCCAGCAGCCGCGGUAAU